CUCCAACUGCCGGUGCUGUGCACAACGGGGAAGGAGUGUGGCACCGGGACUAAGGACCCCCUCCGAGCCCCUCUAGCAGGCCUGGGCCCAUGUAAAGUGUACUUUACCCCUCUCAGCACCACUGCCUUUAGAGAAUGCACUGUGCAGUCACCUUACCUGCAGGCUGCAGUACAGAGUUGGAACUGAGUAGUCUGUGAAAGAGCCUGGAAUGAAGAGCAGUGCUGCAUGUCACCCCCAGCCAGGACUCCAGGACCUGUCAAAGUUACUACCAGUGCCGGGUGGAGGUGGAGCUGGAGGCUGCAAUACGGGAGCUUAGCAGUCACGGCUACUGUAAGAUACGCAUUCUGGGGGAUUGCAGUGGCUGUGAAAGCACUUAAAAAAUCCACCACUAUGAGAGAGCUGAGCGACUGCAUCGAAGCAAGCUUGGGGAUAAAGUGGAGGUAUCUCUUUUGUCCAUAUGCUGUGAGGCACCAGAUGGUCUUAAUGCUGCAUACGCCCAUGUUCAGAAAGGGGGCACAGAAGAAACCAGCAAUGGCAGCCUGCUUGGAACACUACAAUUCCCAGAAUGUAUUGCUAAAUUUGUAUGAUCACAUAGUAAAAAUUAUUAAACUGUACAUUUAAAAACAAGAAGAGAAAAAUAAUUUCUUUCUUUUUUUUUUUCUUACAACACGGCAAAAUGUCCCAAACACCCGCCCUGCCAGACUGAUAACUAUUCUUUAUGUUUAGCUGGCUUUUUGUACUGUCCCAAGGUGGUUUCUUCCAGAUAUGAAUCACCACUAAUUGUGCUCACUCAUGACAAAGUGCCCAAACAUACUGCUUUUAUUCUCUAUCCCUAAUUCACUUAAUGUUCCUACGUGCCAGAGCCAUAGCUUAGAAGACAGGAACACCAUUGUCCUCAUCAGUGCCCUAGAAAGCUGGCAACGCAAAUUAUGUUCCCUGUUACACUUAUUAUAGAGAAGAGAGGAUGGUGAAGCCGGAGACAUGGUCAUUUGCCACGUGCAGGAGGAAAUGACAGUUUCUGCUGGCUACAGAACGGAAGAAGCGGAGGAGCAGAAGUGCUUCUGGCACUUCUAUAGCUGCAGCAACAGCAGCAAAAGACUAUUCUUCUGGGGGAUGAGUCAGAUGAAAGACACCUUCCAAUAAUGGAAUGAAAGACAUAGCUGACAGUCUGUAUAGGAUACACAAUUCUGUUCUUAUACUUAUUCUUCUCUCUCUUUUUAUUACACAUUAACCUAAACAUUAUUACGGGAUGUGUACUUUUAGGCUUGCAUAAACAUCUGUGCUGUAAAUAUUUUAAAAGGGGGGAGUGGUUCUACAUUUAGAUGUCAUUCAUUUAUUGGUCUAUAAAUGCCCUUACAUAACCAACAAAAA